UACGAACCGUGCGAACGUUAUUCGGAAUCACUGGGCUUAAAGCGCGUGUAGGCGGGUCGGUGCGUCGGCCGCUGAAAUCCCCCGGCUCAACCGGGGAAGGGGCGCCGAUACGACCGGCCUGGAGCGACGUAGGGGGAACUGGAACUUCCGGUGGAGCGGUGAAAUGCGUUGAGAUCGGAAGGAACGCCCGUGGCGAAAGCGAGUUCCUGGACGUCGGCUGACGCUGAGACGCGAAAGCCAGGGGAGCGAACGGG
rnacentral:rRNA from 1 species